GAUGAACGCUGGCGGCGUGCCUAAUACAUGCAAGUCGAGCGAACAGACAAGGAGCUUGCUCCUUUGACGUUAGCGGCGGACGGGUGAGUAACACGUGGGUAACCUACCUAUAAGACUGGGAUAACUUCGGGAAACCGGAGCUAAUACCGGAUAAUAUUUCGAACCGCAUGGUUCGAUAGUGAAAGAUGGUUUUGCUAUCACUUAUAGAUGGACCCGCGCCGUAUUAGCUAGUUGGUAAGGUAACGGCUUACCAAGGCGACGAUACGUAGCCGACCUGAGAGGGUGAUCGGCCACACUGGAACUGAGACACGGUCCAGACUCCUACGGGAGGCAGCAGUAGGGAAUCUUCCGCAAUGGGCGAAAGCCUGACGGAGCAACGCCGCGUGAGUGAUGAAGGUCUUCGGAUCGUAAAACUCUGUUAUUAGGGAAGAACAUACAUGUAAGUAACUAUGCACGUCUUGACGGUACCUAAUCAGAAAGCCACGGCUAACUACGUGCCAGCAGCCGCGGUAAUACGUAGGUGGCAAGCGUUAUCCGGAAUUAUUGGGCGUAAAGCGCGCGUAGGCGGUUUUUUAAGUCUGAUGUGAAAGCCCACGGCUCAACCGUGGAGGGUCAUUGGAAACUGGAAAACUUGAGUGCAGAAGAGGAAAGUGGAAUUCCAUGUGUAGCGGUGAAAUGCGCAGAGAUAUGGAGGAACACCAGUGGCGAAGGCGACUUUCUGGUCUGUAACUGACGCUGAUGUGCGAAAGCGUGGGGAUCAAACAGGAUUAGAUACCCUGGUAGUCCACGCCGUAAACGAUGAGUGCUAAGUGUUAGGGGGUUUCCGCCCCUUAGUGCUGCAGCUAACGCAUUAAGCACUCCGCCUGGGGAGUACGACCGCAAGGUUGAAACUCAAAGGAAUUGACGGGGACCCGCACAAGCGGUGGAGCAUGUGGUUUAAUUCGAAGCAACGCGAAGAACCUUACCAAAUCUUGACAUCCUUUGACAACUCUAGAGAUAGAGCCUUCCCCUUCGGGGGACAAAGUGACAGGUGGUGCAUGGUUGUCGUCAGCUCGUGUCGUGAGAUGUUGGGUUAAGUCCCGCAACGAGCGCAACCCUUAAGCUUAGUUGCCAUCAUUAAGUUGGGCACUCUAAGUUGGCUGCCGGUGACAAACCGGAGGAAGGUGGGGAUGACGUCAAAUCAUCAUGCCCCUUAUGAUUUGGGCUACACACGUGCUACAAUGGACAAUACAAAGGGCAGCGAAACCGCGAGGUCAAGCAAAUCCCAUAAAGUUGUUCUCAGUUCGGAUUGUAGUCUGCAACUCGACUACAUGAAGCUGGAAUCGCUAGUAAUCGUAGAUCAGCAUGCUACGGUGAAUACGUUCCCGGGUCU
rnacentral:rRNA from 1 species